GAACGAGAAAGUGGAGCAAUCCAUGAGUAAAGUGGCGACCGGGUGAGUAACACGUGACUAACCUACCUUUGAGUGGGGGAUAACAUCGGGAAACCGAUGCUAAUACCGCAUAACAUCGCAAGAUCAAAGCAGCAAUGCGCUUAGAGAGGGGGUCGCGGCUGAUUAGCUAGUUGGCGGGGUAACGGCCCACCAAGGCGAAGAUCGGUAUCCGGCCUGAGAGGGCGCACGGACACACUGGAACUGAAACACGGUCCAGACUCCUACGGGAGGCAGCAGUGGGGAAUUUUGCUGCAAUGGGUGAAACCCUGACGCAUCAACGCCGCGUGGAGGAUGAAGUCCCUUGGGACGUAAACUCCUUUCGACCAAGACGAUAAUGACGGUACUGGUGGAAGAAGCACCGGCUAACUCUGUGCCAGCAGCCGUGGUAAUACAGAGGGUGCAAGCGUUGUUCGGAAUUAUUGGGCGUAAAGGGCCGCGUAGACGGAGCGCCAAGUCACCUGUGAAAUCUCCGGGCUUAACUCCUAACCUUGUAGGCUAACAACUGUCAUGCUGGAGUAUGAGGUGGAGGUGCGUGGAAUUUCCCGAUGUU
rnacentral:rRNA from 1 species